ensembl:misc_RNA Metazoa_SRP Metazoan signal recognition particle RNA
GCUGGGCAUGGUGGCAUGUACCUUUAGUACCAGCUACUCAGGAGGCUGAAGCAGGAGGAUCACUUGAGCCCAGGAGUUAUGGGCCUGUGGUGUCCUAUGCCCAUCAGGUGUCUGCACUACGUUUGACAUCAGUAUGGUGACCUCCCAGGAGCAAGGGACCACCAGGUUGCCUAAGGAGGGAUGAAUUGGCCCAGGCUGGAAAUGGAACAGGGCAGUACUCCCUUGCUGAUCAGCAGUGGGGUUGCACCUGUGAAUAACCACUGCAUUGUAGCCUGGGCAAUACAGCGAGACCCUGUCUCUA